rnacentral:rRNA from 1 species
UACGGGGGGUGCGAGCGUUGUCCGGAAUCACUGGGCGUAAAGGGCGCGUAGGUGGCGUGAUAAGGGUGUGGUGAAAGCCCGGGGCUCAACCCCGGGUCUGCCAUGCCGACUGUCAGGCUAGAGUACUGUAGGGGCAGGCGGAAUUCCGGGUGUAGCGGUGGAAUGCGUAGAUAUCUGGAGGAACACCGGUGGCGAAGGCGGCAUCCUGGACCGAGAUUGACGCUGAGGUGCGAAAGCCAGGGGAGCAAACGGG